AAUAGAUACCCCGGUAGUCCACGCCGUAAACGAUGAGUGCUAAGUGUUAGAGGGUUUCCGCCCUUUAGUGCUGAAGUUAACGCAUUAAGCACUCCGCCUGGGGAGUACGGCCGCAAGGCUGAAACUCAAAGGAAUUGACGGGGGCCCGCACAAGCGGUGGAGCAUGUGGUUUAAUUCGAAGCAACGCGAAGAACCUUACCAGGUCUUGACAUCCUCUGACAACCCUAGAGAUAGGGCUUCUCCUUCGGGAGCAGAGUGACAGGUGGUGCAUGGUUGUCGUCAGCUCGUGUCGUGAGAUGUUGGGUUAAGUCCCGCAACGAGCGCAACCCUUGAUCUUAGUUGCCAUCAUUAAGUUGGGCACUCUAAGGUGACUGCCGGUGACAAACCGGAGGAAGGUGGGGAUGACGUCAAAUCAUCAUGCCCCUUAUGACCUGGGCUACACACGUGCUACGAUGGACGGUACAAAGAGCUGCAAGACCGCGAGGUGGAGCUAAUCUCAUAAAACCCGUUCUCAGUUCGGAUUGUAGG
rnacentral:rRNA from 1 species